UACGUAGGGUGCAAGCGUUAAUCGGAAUUACUGGGCGUAAAGCGUGCGCAGGCGGUGCUGUAAGACAGGCGUGAAAUCCCCGGGCUUAACCUGGGAAUGGCGCUUGUGACUGCAGUGCUGGAGUGCGGGAGAGGGGGAUGGAAUUCCGCGUGUAGCAGUGAAAUGCGUAGAUAUGCGGAGGAACACCGAUGGCGAAGGCAAUCCCCUGGGCCUGCACUGACGCUCAUGCACGAAAGCGUGGGGAGCAAACAGG
rnacentral:rRNA from 1 species